GCGUUUGAAAAUCUUCCCUAAAGCCACCAUCAGCAGCAUCACCUGAGGGAAAACUGGAUGGUUUAGCUGGAUAGAGAAGAACAGAGGAUUUUUUUGCUCUCUGGACAGAAAAGCAUCAACACCACUUCCUAGAGCUUCAGCAAGACUGCAACACAGAGAAUGUGCAUUCAAGGCAACAUGGCUCUCAAAGCCAAGGUUUCCAUUGCUGCUGGCUGCUCAGUGGACUUCAGGAAGAGCACCAACUCUCAGCAGAAGCUGUUGGAGCCUGCAUAGGCUGUGGGUCUGCAGACAAGGGCUAUGUAAGUGCCACCCAGGGCUGCUGCUCUCCAUCCCCAGGUUGUGCUGCUGCAGCACCAGUGUGUCUUGUCCUGCAGCUCCUGUCUUUCUGCUCAUUAGCUGUACCUCUUUGCAGCAUGUUUUAACAAAAGGAGAAGUGAAAGUUGGCUCAGUUACUGUCAAAAUGAAGCCAAUGAACCCUGAAUCCCUAUUCUGCAGUUCUGUAUAGGCUGAGGGUUUCCCAACUGUUGAGAAAUAGCGCUUGUUUCCUGAACCAAGCUAAAUGGAUACAAGGAGACAAUGAGAACCCAUUUGUACCAUAAAUGUAGAUGUGUCUGUCUUGCUGUAUGUAAGGGUGGUUG
rnacentral:lncRNA from 1 species